UACAGAGGUGGCAAGCGUUGUUCGGAAUUACUGGGCGUAAAGGGCGCGUAGGCGGCCUGUUAAGUCGGACGUGAAAUCCCUCGGCUCAACCGGGGAACUGCGUCCGAUACUGGCGGGCUUGAAUUCGGGAGAGGGAUGUGGAAUUCCAGGUGUAGCGGUGAAAUGCGUAGAUAUUCGGAAGAACACCAGUGGCGAAGGCGGCUCACUGGACCGGCAUUGACGCUGAGGUGCGAAAGCGUGGGGAGCAAACAGG
rnacentral:rRNA from 1 species